rnacentral:rRNA from 1 species
GGUACCUGCGGAAGGAUCAUUAAC